rnacentral:rRNA from 1 species
GUUGGGUAGGGGAGCGUUCUGUAAGCCUGUGAAGGUGGCCUGUGAGGGUUGCUGGAGGUAUCAGAAGUGCGAAUGCUGACAUAAGUAACGAUAAAGCGGGUGAAAAGCCCGCUCGCCGGAAGACCAAGGGUUCCUGUCCAACGUUAAUCGGGGCAGGGUGAGUCGACCCCUAAGGCGAGGCCGAAAGGCGUAGUCGAUGGGAAACGGGUUAAUAUUCCCGUACUUGGUGUUACUGCGAAGGGGGGACGGAGAAGGCUAUGUUGGCCGGGCGACGGUUGUCCCGGUUUAAGCGUGUAGGUGUGUGUUCCAGGUAAAUCCGGUUCACUUUAACACUGAGGCGUGAUGACGAGGCACUACGGUGCUGAAGCAACAAAUGCCCUGCUUCCAGGAAAAGCCUCUAAGCAUCAGGUAACAUCAAAUCGUACCCCAAACCGACACAGGUGGUCAGGUAGAGAAUACCAAGGCGCUUGAGAGAACUCGGGUGAAGGAACUAGGCAAAAUGGUGCCGUAACUUCGGGAGAAGGCACGCUGACACGUAGGUGAAGUGAUUUACUCAUGGAGCUGAAGUCAGUCGAAGAUACCAGCUGGCUGCAACUGUUUAUUAAAAACACAGCACUGUGCAAACACGAAAGUGGACGUAUACGGUGUGACGCCUGCCCGGUGCCGGAAGGUUAAUUGAUGGGGUCAGCGCAAGCGAAGCUCCUGAUCGAAGCCCCGGUAAACGGCGGCCGUAACUAUAACGGUCCUAAGGUAGCGAAAUUCCUUGUCGGGUAAGUUCCGACCUGCACGAAUGGCGUAAUGAUGGCCAGGCUGUCUCCACCCGAGACUCAGUGAAAUUGAACUCGCUGUGAAGAUGCAGUGUACCCGCGGCAAGACGGAAAGACCCCGUGAACCUUUACUAUAGCUUGACACUGAACAUUGAGCCUUGAUGUGUAGGAUAGGUGGGAGGCUUUGAAGCGUGGACGCCAGUCUGCGUGGAGCCGACCUUGAAAUACCACCCUUUAAUGUUUGAUGUUCUAACGUGGACCCGUAAUCCGGGUUGCGGACAGUGUCUGGUGGGUAGUUUGACUGGGGCGGUCUCCUCCUAAAGAGUAACGGAGGAGCACGAAGGUUGGCUAAUCCUGGUCGGACAUCAGGAGGUUAGUGCAAUGGCAUAAGCCAGCUUGACUGCGAGCGUGACGGCGCGAGCAGGUGCGAAAGCAGGUCAUAGUGAUCCGGUGGUUCUGAAUGGAAGGGCCAUCGCUCAACGGAUAAAAGGUACUCCGGGGAUAACAGGCUGAUACCGCCCAAGAGUUCAUAUCGACGGCGGUGUUUGGCACCUCGAUGUCGGCUCAUCACAUCCUGGGGCUGAAGUAGGUCCCAAGGGUAUGGCUGUUCGCCAUUUAAAGUGGUACGCGAGCUGGGUUUAGAACGUCGUGAGACAGUUCGGUCCCUAUCUGCCGUGGGCGCUGGAGAACUGAGGGGGGCUGCUCCUAGUACGAGAGGACCGGAGUGGACGCAUCACUGGUGUUCGGGUUGUCAUGCCAAUGGCACUGCCCGGUAGCUAAAUGCGGAAGAGAUAAGUGCUGAAAGCAUCUAAGCACGAAACUUGCCCCGAGAUGAGUUCUCCCUGAGACUUUAGGUCUCCUGAAGGAACGUUGAAGACGACGACGUUGAUAGGCCGGGUGUGUAAGCGCAGCGAUGCGUUGAGCUAACCGGUACUAAUGAACCGUGAGGCUUAACCUUACAACGCCGAAG